AGCGAACGCUGGCGGCAGGCCUAACACAUGCAAGUCGAACGAACUCUUCGGAGUUAGUGGCGGACGGGUGAGUAACACGUGGGAACGUGCCUUUAGGUUCGGAAUAACUCAGGGAAACUUGUGCUAAUACCGAAUGUGCCCUUCGGGGGAAAGAUUUAUCGCCUUUAGAGCGGCCCGCGUCUGAUUAGCUAGUUGGUGAGGUAAAGGCUCACCAAGGCGACGAUCAGUAGCUGGUCUGAGAGGAUGAUCAGCCACAUUGGGACUGAGACACGGCCCAAACUCCUACGGGAGGCAGCAGUGGGGAAUCUUGCGCAAUGGGCGAAAGCCUGACGCAGCCAUGCCGCGUGAAUGAUGAAGGUCUUAGGAUUGUAAAAUUCUUUCACCGGGGACGAUAAUGACGGUACCCGGAGAAGAAGCCCCGGCGAACUUCG
rnacentral:rRNA from 1 species